GAGAAUAUUUUUCCUAUCAUCAUCCUAUGCUGAUCAACUCUACUUCCACACUUCCAACAUGUCUUCUUGUUUUGAUCAGCCACUUUUUCCAGUCCCAUGUUACUCACAUCCUGAUAUUAAUCCAUAUGAUACUUCUCCCAUUUCACAAUCCUAUUCCACAAAAGAGCAUCCUUUAGAUACUCCUUAUUCUCAUGUUAUUGCUCAGCCUACUUCAAUCUCUAUCCCAGAUAGUUUUCCUCCACCUGGCCUUUUACUUACAACUGAUAAAUCUCAAUUUGAAAAAUCUUCCACUCUACACCCUCCUUCCACUCGAAGAUCAAAUAGACCCAAGAAAGCUCCAGCUUAUCUUCAUGAGUAUCAUUGCAAUCUGGCAUCUCAGAUUUCUGUUGCAUCCCAAUCAGAUCUCAUGGCAAAUGGAUCUGCAUGUGGACCAAAGUACCCCAUCUCAAAUUACUUAGACUAUAGCAGGCUGUCACCAUAGAUACUAUGCACUGACCUUAUCUACGGUUCAUGAACCUCAGUCAUUUGUUGAAGCUGCUAAAAAUCUAGAUUGGUGCAAGGCUAUGGAUGCAGAGUAUCAAACACUUGUCUCUAAUAACACAUAGUCUAUUGUUCAUCUUUCUUCCCACAAGACUCCUAUAGCUUGUAGAUGGGUUUUCAAAGUUAAACUUAAAUAAGAUGAUACUGAAGAGAUGAAAAAGGCCUGACUUGUAGCCAAGGGCUCUACCUAACAAGAUGGUUUGGAUGACGAACAAACGUUUUCACCAAUUUCCAAGUUAGUUACGUGAAGACUUUACUUGCUGUUGUUGUUCAGAGGCAAUGGUAUCUCCACCAGAUUGACAUCAACAAUGCCUUGCUUCACGGUGAGCUGAAAGAAGAAGUUUCUAUGAUGAUGCCUCUGGUUAUGAACAGCAGGGGACGAAUGGUGAAAAGCUGGUUUAUAGAUUAAAUAAGUCGAUUUAUGGCCUUAAGCAGGCGUCAAGACAGUGGAUCACCAAGUUGUCUUCUUACAUCAUCUCAUAAGGUUUCAAGCAAUCAAAAUUUGAUUUUUCCCUAUUCAGUAAACAAGAGGGCUGUUCAUUCAUCGUGCUUCUCAUAUAUGUGGAUGACAUUAUCAUUGGAGGGAAGGAUAUCACCUACAUUGAGCAGUUUAAAUAAGGUUUGAAGGAGCAAUUCAAAUUGAAAGACUUGGGAGUUCAAAAAUUCUUCCUAGGACUUGAGAUAGCAAGGAAUUUGAAUGGCAUAUCCAUUUGUCAGCGAAAAUAUGCACUAUAAAUUUUGACAAACAUAGGUUAUCUUAGUGCCAAACCAGCUAGCAGCCCAUUGCCAUAGAAUUUGAAGUUCUGCAAAGAUGAUGGUGAGGCUAUUGCAGAUGCAAGCAUGUACAGGAGGUUGGUGGGAAAACUCUUAUACCUUACAAUCACAAGACCUGAUCUGUCAUAUGCUGUGCAGGUCUUAAGUCAGUUCCUUCAGUCACCAAAACAACGACAUUUGGAUGCAGCCGGUCACGUGUUGCGGUAUAUAAAGGGCACACUUGGGCAAGGUCUCUUCUUUGCCAAAAGUACUGACUUAAUUCUCAAAGGGUACUGUGAUGCGGACUGGGCAGCAUGCUUAGACACCGGAGGUAUAUCACUGGAUAUUGCAUCUUUUUAGGAAGUUUAUUGGUGUCCUGGAAGUCCAAGAAGCAACAUAUGGUUUCCAGAUCAUCAGCCGAAGUAGAAUAUCGGUCAAUGGCAGCUGGAGUGUGUGAAUUUAGUUGGCUGAAAAACAUACUUAGUGACUUGGGAGUGCAACAUAAUAAGGCAGCUUUGUUGUUUUGUGACAACCAAUCAGCUAUACAUAUAGCCAGUAAUCCAGUGUUCCACAAACGUACAAAAUACAAAGAAAUUGACUGCCAUUUGUUGCGGGACAAAGUGCAAACAGGUGAGGUAAAGACAUUACAUAUAUCAUCAAAGGAACAACUGGUAGAUUUGUUGACAAAACCGUUGGGGGGUCAAGUUUAAGUCCUUGUUAGUCAAGAUGGGAAUAUUGAAUAUUCAUUCUCCAUCUUGAGUGGGCGAGUUGAAUUACAUUGUAAUAUAAG
rnacentral:lncRNA from 1 species